CCGAGUGUAGCUCAGUUGGUAGAGCGAUUGACUGUAGUGUUCUAUACUGUGUUUCAGUAUUCUCGGAAAUCAAUUGGUCGCUGGUUCGAUUCCGGCCAAUCGGA
rnacentral:tRNA from 1 species